UCCGUAGGUGAACCUGCGGAAGGAUCAUUACCGAGUGAGGGCCCUCUGGGUCCAACCUCCCACCCGUGUUUAUCGUACCUUGUUGCUUCGGCGGGCCCGCCGCAAGGCCGCCGGGGGGCAUCUGCCCUCUGGCCCGCGCCCGCCGAAGACACCAUUGAACGCUGUCUGAAGAUUGCAGUCUGAGCAAUUAGUUAAAUAACUUAAAACUUUCAACAACGGAUCUCUUGGUUCCGGCAUCGAUGAAGAACGCAGCGAAAUGCGAUACGUAAUGUGAAUUGCAGAAUUCAGUGAAUCAUCGAGUCUUUGAACGCACAUUGCGCCCCCUGGUAUUCCGGGGGGCAUGCCUGUCCGAGCGUCAUUGCUGCCCUCAAGCACGGCUUGUGUGUUGGGCUCCGUCCUCCUUCCGGGGGACGGGCCCGAAAGGCAGCGGCGGCACCGCGUCCGGUCCUCGAGCGUAUGGGGCUUCGUCACCCGCUCUGUAGGCCCGGCCGGCGCUUGCCGACACAUCAAUCUUUUUUCCAGGUUGACCUCGGAUCAGGUAGGGAUACCCGCUGAACUUAAGCAUAUCAAUAAGCGGAGGAA
rnacentral:rRNA from 1 species